rnacentral:rRNA from 1 species
UACGUAGGGGGCAUGCGUUGUCCGGAUUUAUUGGGCGUAAAGAGCGUGUAGGCGGCCUGGAAGGUCAGCUGUGAAAACUCGAGGCUCAACCUCGAGACGUCGGUUGAAACCACCUGGCUAGAGUCCGGAAGAGGAGAGUGGAAUUCCCGGUGUAGCGGUGAAAUGCGCAGAUAUCGGGAAGAACACCCGUGGCGAAGGCGGCUCUCUGGGACGGUACUGACGCUGAGACGCGAAAGCGUGGGGAGCGAACAGG